rnacentral:rRNA from 1 species
UACGUAGGGUGCAAGCGUUAAUCGGAAUUACUGGGCGUAAAGCGUGCGCAGGCGGUUUUGUAAGCCAGAUGUGAAAUCCCCGGGCUCAACCUGGGAAUGGCAUUUGGGACUGCAAGGCUUGAGUGCGGCAGAGGAGACUGGAAUUCCUGGUGUAGCAGUGAAAUGCGUAGAUAUCAGGAGGAAUACCUGUGGCGAAGGCGGCCAACUGGACGAGUACUGACGCUGAGACACGAAAGCGUGGGGAGCAAACAGG